rnacentral:ncRNA from 1 species
AUAUUAAUUAACCUUGUCAAAACUAGUAUGGAAAAGGGGAAUCCGACUGUUUAAUUAAAACAAAGCAUUGUGAUGGUCCCUGCAGAUGCUAACACAAUGUGAUUUAUGCCCAGUUCUCUACAUGUCAAAGUGAAUAAAUUCAACGAAGCGCGGGUAAACUAUGGGAGUAAUUGUGACUCUUUUAAGGAAGUCAGAUGCCUCGUCAUCUAAUUAGUGACAUGCAUGAAUGGAUUAACAAUAUUCCCACUCUCCCAAGAUACUAUCUAGAGAAAUCAGAGCUAAGGGAACGAGCUUGGAAAAAUUAGCAGGGAAAGAAGACCCUAUUGAGAUUGACUCUAGUCCGCUCUUGUGAAAUGACUUUAGAGGUGUAGAAUAAGAGGGAGUUUUUUUCAGUGCAAGUGAAAUACCACUACUUUUAACGUUAUUUUACUUAUGUCAUGGGGCAGAGAUGAGGCAUUUCACAUAUUUUAAAAGAUAAUGCACAUUUCCUCAAAGUGUUUUCAUUGAUGACAGUGGUCGAAAGCUCAUUCUUCACACACUUGAUGGAAAUGAGUUUAGGAAACUAAAGAGGAUCAUUGAUUUUAAGGAUGAAGAAAGUUCCUAUAACAAUCCCUAUGUUUUUAUCCAACAUCCCCUAU